rnacentral:rRNA from 2 species
CCGUUGGUGAACCAGCGGAGG